rnacentral:rRNA from 1 species
UCAAGCGAACAAGUGCAUGUGGUGGAUGCCUUGGCGAUCACAGGCGAUGAAGGACGCGGUAGCCUGCGAAAAGCUACGGGGAGCUGGCAAACGAGCUUUGAUCCGUAGAUGUCCGAAUGGGGAAACCCACUCCUUUUGGAGUAUCCAUGGCUGAAUACAUAGGCCAUGCGAAGCGAACGCGGUGAACUGAAACAUCUAAGUAACCGCAGGAAAAGAAAUCAACCGAGAUUCCCAAAGUAGUGGCGAGCGAAAUGGGAUGAGCCUUGCACUCUUUAUUUGUAUUGUUAGCCGAACGCUCUGGAAAGUGCGGCCAUAGCAGGUGAUAGCCCUGUAGGCGAAAACAGUAUGAAAGAACUAGGUGUGCGACAAGUAGGGCGGGACACGUGAAAUCCUGUCUGAAGAUGGGGGGACCAUCCUCCAAGGCUAAAUACUCGUGAUCGACCGAUAGUGAACCAGUACCGUGAGGGAAAGGCGAAAAGAACCCCGGGAGGGGAGUGAAAUAGAUCCUGAAACCGCAUGCAUACAAACAGUCGGAGCCUCGUAAGGGGUGACGGCGUACCUUUUGUAUAAUGGGUCAGCGACUUACGUUCAGUAGCAAGCUUAACCGUAUAGGGCAGGCGUAGCGAAAGCGAGUCCGAAUAGGGCGUUCAGUUGCUGGGCGUAGACCCGAAACCAGGUGAUCUAUCCAUGGCCAGGAUGAAGGUGCGGUAACACGUACUGGAGGUCCGAACCCACUAACGUUGAAAAGUUAGGGGAUGAGCUGUGGAUAGGGGUGAAAGGCUAAACAAACCUGGAAAUAGCUGGUUCUCUCCGAAAACUAUUUAGGUAGUGCCUCGUGUCUCACCUUCGGGGGUAGAGCACUGUCAUGGUUGGGGGGUCUAUUGCAGAUUACCCCGCCAUAGCAAACUCCGAAUACCGAAGAGUGCAAUCACGGGAGACAGACAUCGGGUGCUAACGUCCGGUGUCAAGAGGGAAACAACCCAGACCGCCAGCUAAGGUCCCCAAAUAUAGCUAAGUGGGAAACGAAGUGGGAAGGCUAAAACAGUCAGGAGGUUGGCUUAGAAGCAGCCACCCUUUAAAGAAAGCGUAAUAGCUCACUGAUCGAGUCGUCCUGCGCGGAAGAUGUAACGGGGCUAAGCUAUAUACCGAAGCUGCGGAUGCGUGCUUAGCACGCAUGGUAGGAGAGCGUUCCGUAAGCCUGCGAAGGUGCCUUGUAAAGGGUGCUGGAGGUAUCGGAAGUGCGAAUGCUGACAUGAGUAGCGAUAAAGGGGGUGAAAGGCCCCCUCGCCGUAAGCCCAAGGUUUCCUACGCAACGUUCAUCGGCGUAGGGUGAGUCGGCCCCUAAGGCGAGGCAGAAAUGCGUAGCUGAUGGGAAGCAGGUCAAUAUUCCUGCACCAUUGUUAGAUGCGAUGGGGGGACGGAUCGCGGAAGGUUGUCCGGGUGUUGGAAGUCCCGGUCGCUGCAUUGGAGAAGGCGCUUAGGCAAAUCCGGGCGCGGAAUUCAAGGGUGUGGCGCGAGCUCCUUAGGGAGCGAAGCAAUUGGAAGUGGUUCCAAGAAAAGCCUCUAAGCUUCAGUCUAACGAUGACCGUACCGCAAACCGACACAGGUGGGCAGGGCGAGGAGCCCCAGGUGGGCGAGGGAACCUCCGUCAAGGAACUCGGCAAAUUGACCCCGUAACUUCGGGAGAAGGGGUGCCCCGCGUAGGGCGGAGGGCCACGCGCCCCGAGCUCGAGGGGGCCGCAGUGACCAGGCCCAGGCGACUGUUUAACACAAACACAGGUCUCCGCGAAGGCGCGAGCCGACGUAUGGGGGCUGACACCUGCCCAGUGCCGGAAGGUUAAGGGGAGGGCUGCAGGGCCCGAACCGAAGCCCCGGUAAACGGCGGCCGUAACUAUAACGGUCCUAAGGUAGCGAAAUUCCUUGUCGGGUAAGUUCCGACCCGCACGAAAGGUGUCACGAUCUGGGCGCUGUCUCGACGGAGGCCUCGGCGAAAUUGAAGUGGCUGUGAAGAUGCGGCCACCCCGCAGCAGGACAAAAAGACCCCGUGGAGCUUUACUACACCCUGACAUUGGAUUGGGAUUUAGCUUGUGUAGGAUAGGUGGGAGGCUGAGAAGCUGGGGCGCUAGCCUCGGUGGAGCCGACGUUGAAAUACCACCCUUGCUGAAUUCCGGUUCUAACCGCGACCCGUUAUCCGGGCGCAGGACAGUGUCAGGCGGGUAGUUUGACUGGGGCGGUCGCCUCCUAAAGUGUAACGGAGGCGCCCAAAGGUUCCCUCAGGCUGAAUGGAAACCAGCCGAAGAGUGCAAAGGCAUAAGGGAGCUUGACUGCGAGACCCACAAGUCGAGCAGAGACGAAAGUCGGGCUUAGUGAUCUGGUACCUCCGAGUGGAAGGGGUAUCACUCAACGGAUAAAAGCUACCCCGGGGAUAACAGGCUGAUGGUGCCCAAGAGUUCACAUCGACGGCACCGUUUGGCACCUCGAUGUCGGCUCGUCGCAUCCUGGGGCGGA